AACAGAGUAGGAAAGGUGCGUUAAGUGUUAGGGGAUGGGAUGUUGCCCUUGAACGAAAGGAGUGCCUGCGAUAUCUUUCUGCUUCCGCUGUC
rnacentral:ncRNA from 2 species